GUAGGUGGCAAGCGUUGUCCGGAAUUAUUGGGCGUAAAGCGCGCGCAGGCGGUCCUUUAAGUCUGAUGUGAAAGCCCACGGCUCAACCGUGGAGGGUCAUUGGAAACUGGGGGACUUGAGUACAGAAGAGGAAAGCGGAAUUCCAAGUGUAGCGGUGAAAUGCGUAGAGAUUUGGAGGAACACCAGUGGCGAAGGCGGCUUUCUGGUCUGUAACUGACGCUGAGGCGCGAAAGCGUGGGGAGCAAACAGGAUUAGAUACCCUGGUAGUCCACGCCGUAAACGAUGAGUGCUAAGUGUUAGGGGGUUUCCCGCCCCCCUUAGUGCUGCGGCUAACGCAUUAAGCACUCCGCCUGGGGGAGUACGGCCGCAAGGCUG
rnacentral:rRNA from 1 species